GAAAAUGUAAAAUAGGAUACCUGCUUCCCAAGUAGUACCUGCUAAGCCCUGCCAUGUGAAAUUCUAUGAAACUGAAGAAAAUGCGAUAACGUGCAGUAAACAAGACUCUAAUGCUGUUUAGUCUGAAUGACUUUUCAAUGCAUUCUGAUGGCAAAAAUACCACAGGACCACACCAAAUAAAGAGAAAAUACAUUAAUAUUGCAUUUCAGAUGGAAUCUACGACUGACUUGCAAGACAGACCUUACAAAUUCAGAAACAUAUCAAAACUACUGCAGCUACUGGACCCCCUAGGUUCUUAGCGUUCUUAGUCUAUAGCAAAAAAUUCAUUAUUUUCUUUUUUCUCCCCCCCCCCCCCCCAAGGAAUUUUGUCAAAGGACUCGUGUACAAGAUGUUAUGUUAAUAACAAAAAUAAUAUUUCAUAGGGCCUUCAGGGAAAAGGUUAAUCAUAUGAACUGUCUAAAUAGACUUAAAAAAAAAAAAAGGGGGGAAUAAAACAAGCACCUAAAUCAAGAAAAUCCACAUAUUGAACGUCAUCGGGUAAUAUCCACCAGUUGAUAGCCCUGUAUAUGUUUUUCACUCAUACAGUUACAAGGUGUCACAUUUCCACCAUUUUUCCUCUGACCACAUGUAAUACUAUUCCCAGGCCAAACUGUUCAGCAAUUACAUUACUGUCUGCCAAGAGUCCACCCAUCAUUCUUCUCGCUUAUUUUCCAGUGUGACUCUAUUGUCCUUGAAUUAGAUAUUCCUAUAAUGUUUUAUUAAAUCUUUCUUAUGCUACCUAACACACAAAGUUGGAAGAAAAAGAACCAAAUUUACUACCUUAUUAUCCUUCAAACCUCUUAUAAUUUGAUCCUACUGGAGUAACUACAAAAAUACCUGUUGGGGGCUACAGAGCUGCUCAUUCUGCUAAUCGUGAAUGAUGGAGAUGAAUCCAAUCACUGCACCAGGUUGUUUCAGACUGGUUUGCCUUUAUUCUAACAGAAAUCAAAUUUUUGAUGGUGUUCUAGGUUUAUCCAACAUUUGGGAAAAGGUAACUAUUUUCUUUUGGCCCAUCACUAACUAUUCAAAAGAUGAAUGAACUGUUUAGGAAGCUAGUUGGUAACGUAACUGAUAUAAGCAUAUCAACAAAAGAGUUUAGGCUUUGUUACUUUUUGUCAAAUGAGUGAACUAGAGAUCUGACUAUAAAAGUUCCCAGAAGCCUUCAAACAUGGUGUUAUCGCUAUCAAUCAGACUCACUUGAACAGCACAGAAAUCAACAACAGUAAUCUGUUUACAGCAAGAUGAGCAGAUAGAUCUUCAAGCUAAAACAAUUUCACAUGUUCAUAACAGUCUUAUCUCUUACAUCCAAACCCAUUAUGUAAAUAGAAAACAAAAGGAGAUAAUAGCAAAUAUAAGGAGACAUGUGAAUACAAUUUUUUUCUAACAAAAUAUCGUGGGUUUCUCUAUUGCCACUCCAGUUUUUUAGAAGCUUAUUCAAACUCUAUUUGAAUAUGCUUGAACUGGCUGAAAAGACACAUUCCACAUAAAUGAAAAUGUAAAAUAUAGUAAUAACAACAAGGGAAUCAAUAAAUACAAGAAGUCAGAGAGAAUCAAUUUCUUAAAUUCUUAUUUUGUUUUCAUUUUAAAGGGAUGUAGUAACUGUUAAAUAAAAAUAACAUUUUUAAACUAAUGUUUUUUUCUGAAUGUGAACUUUUUUUUUUAAAUAUUUCAAACCAAGCAUUUAACUUUUGAGAAAACUUCAUUGUCUUUAAGUUGAUGUCAACCUCAAUAAACAACAAAAAAUAAAAAACUCUUUGAAAAGAAA
ensembl:lncRNA